AUCGUUCAACUCUGAGGAGUCGGAAGUAAGCGAAAGCUGAAGGAACGCGCU
rnacentral:ncRNA from 10 species